AUGUCUAGUGCUAAACCUAGUGAUAUUGAUCCAUUUGACACUGUCUACUCAAACAUUCCAGACAACACUCAGAUCCUGAAGCUCGAUGAAAAUUGCAAACACUGUAAGGCCAGGAAGUUUGAGUCCGAGACUGAUGGCUUCUGCUGUCGCAAUGGACAGAUCCAGCUUAAGCAACCGAAACCAAUCCCAGAGCUUAUGAGGCUAUGCUCCAGCAUGGAUGCAGAUUCUAGACAUUUUCGGGAGAACAUACGGUUCUUCAACGGGCAUUUCGCCUUCACAACCCUUGGUGUCAGCCUUGAUGAAAACUACACAAACAUGAAAUCUGGGGUGUACACAUUCUGA
rnacentral:rRNA from 1 species